rnacentral:rRNA from 1 species
GAUGAACGCUGGCGGCGUGCCUAAUACAUGCAAGUCGAGCGAACAGACGAGGAGCUUGCUCCUCUGACGUUAGCGGCGGACGGGUGAGUAACACGUGGAUAACCUACCUAUAAGACUGGGAUAACUUCGGGAAACCGGAGCUAAUACCGGAUAAUAUAUUGAACCGCAUGGUUCAAUAGUGAAAGACGGUUUUGCUGUCACUUAUAGAUGGAUCCGCGCCGCAUUAGCUAGUUGGUAAGGUAACGGCUUACCAAGGCAACGAUGCGUAGCCGACCUGAGAGGGUGAUCGGUCACACUGGAACUGAGACACGGUCCAGACUCCUACGGGAGGCAGCAGUAGGGAAUCUUCCGCAAUGGGCGAAAGCCUGACGGAGCAACGCCGCGUGAGUGAUGAAGGUCUUCGGAUCGUAAAACUCUGCUAUUAGGGAAGAACAAAUGUGUAAGUAACUAUGCACGUCUUGACGGUACCUAAUCAGAAAGCCACGGCUAACUUCGUG